AGGGUGAAAUUUGCACACCUAAAAUUGCAAAUCACACACCCUCUCAUUUUUUUAAUAAUAUUUCAUGUUACCUAUUUUGGCACUUCCUAAAACACCCUCAGUCAGAUUUCUUUUCUUUUCUUUUGCUUUUGGCUCUUUUCUCCCCCUCUCUUUCUCUUUCUUCCCCUCUCUUCCAGAUCACGACCCAAGGUCCCAAAACUCUCACUUUUCUUUCUUUCUUCUCCAAACAGCUGCAGGCUCUCUUCUCCAUUGAAAUUUUACCAAUCUCAACCCUUCGUCUUUCCAAACAGGUUAAAUUGAAAAACUUGGGUUGCUUUUAUGCCCAAAAUCAGCUGCUGUGUACAAUGGAAGAAGAUGAUGGGUUCCAAAUUUUUAUGUCUUCAGAUGAUAUGGAAGAAGACUUACAAUCAAAUCACCCGUCUAGUAUCACUGAAGUCCCCAUUGUCAAUGGUCGUCCGGUAGGAUCAAAUAAAAGAAAGGAAACUAGCUCUACAAAGCGGGAACCUUCAUAUUUUGAGAUAGUGGAGAAGGCACCUCGAAAAUGUAGUGGCUGCGGUAAUAUUGGCCAUUAUCGUAACAAGUGUCCAUCAAUUAAUAAGUCUACCGCUCUAGGAACACAAUGAGAUAAAGCUUCCAGCUUCUUUUGGAGAGCAAGAAAUUUACUAGGGGAUUUGCUCUAGAAACUUUUUGUGCUCUGGAAGCUUUUUGUGCAGCAUGGCUUGGACUACAUUCUUUUUGUAUCUCUCUCACAACAUAGGAGAGUUUUGUAGAUGACGUAUUACUAGGGGAUUUGAGCUAUGUAAUUGGUAGAAAAAGUUUAGGAUUUGAGCUCGCUUUGAGCUAUGUAUCUUUUAAAGUCAUCAAUGGAUGUUGCUUCAGCAAUGCAUCUUUGCAUA